rnacentral:rRNA from 1 species
ACAUCCAGAGAACUUAGCAGAGAUGCUUUGGUGCCUUCGGGAACUCUGAGACAGGUGCUGCAUGGCUGUCGUCAGCUCGUGUUGUGAAAUGUUGGGUUAAGUCCCGNAACGAGCGCAACCCUUAUCCUUUGUCGCCAGCGAUUCGGUCGGGAACUCAAAGGAGACUGCCGGUGAUAAACCGGAGGAAGGUGGGGAUGACGUCAAGUCAUCAUGGCCCUUACGGCCAGGGCUACACACGUGCUACAAUGGCGCAUACAAAGAGAAGCGACCUCGCGAGAGCAAGCGGACCUCAUAAAGUGCGUCGUAGUCCGGAUUGGAGUCUGCAACUCGACUCCAUGAAGUCGGAAUCGCUAGUAAUCGUAGAUCAGAAUGCUACGGUGAAUACGUUCCCGGGCCUUGUACACACCGCCCGUCACACCAUGGGAGUGGGUUGCAAAAGAAGUAGGUAGCUUAACCUUCGGGAGGGCGCUUACCACUUUGUGAUUCAUGACUGGGGUGAAGUCGUAACAAGGUAAGCGUACGUGU